GUAAGCUCGGCACCAUCACCCUUGUAUGAAGGCCUGUUAGGAAGGUAGAAGUGCUGGGAGUAAUCUCUCUUUUAAGGCAGGACUACAAACGAGUUUCUGUCUGCUUUGCUCAACUCAUCUGUGGCAUCAUUGAUGACUUCAUGAGAUGCUUGGAACUACAAGGGCUGUUUAUCUCCCUGGCGUCCUGCAGGUGAGGAACACUCAAUGGUUACCUUAGUCAUGGCCAGAAGGUCUUCCACUGUCACCUGAGCAGUUGCUGGAUAGCACGGGAGCAGUCACUCAGCCACACUUGGCAAGACACUGGACCAACAUAGAAACAUAGAAUCAUUUCUGUUGGAAGAGACACUCAGGAUCAUCUAGCACUGAACCACGUCCCUAAAAACCUUGUCUAAAAGGCUUUUAAACACCUCCAGGGAUGGCAAUUCCACCACUUCCCUGGGCAGCCUGUUCCAAUGCCUGACAAACCUUUCCAUGAAGAAUUUUUUCCUAAUAUCCAAUCUAAACCUCCCCUGCUGCAACUUGAGGCCAUUUCCUAUUGUCCAAUCACUUGCUACUUGGGAGAACAGACCAACAUCCUAUGUACUACAACCUCCUUUCAGAUAGUUGCAGACAGCAAUAAGGGGAUUGACUUCCACAUCAGAACUUUCUCAUCUGGCACAUGUACUACCCAACAUUUUCAACAGAAAGGGAGAACAGAUGGAGAAAGAACAGGAAAUGAAGCCUUGGUGAAACUGCAACAGCCACCACAUGUUCUCUCACUUCCCUGAGAGACUUGGAAGGAGCAAACCAAGAGGGACAACUGGCAGAAUAGUCUCCACAAAGUCUUUUCUGAUGUCUUGAUGUACAGUGAAGUUGCUGCUUUCCAUGAAAGUAACAAACUGCCGCUGUAUCAUCUCUUGGUUCCAGUCCUGCUUUCUGCAACUUGUUCACACUGCAGACAGCCAAGUUCUACAGUCCUUGACAGCUCUGCCCAAAGACCAGUAUUUCCUUCAUUUGCCCACUGCAGCACAAGGACUCCUUUCCUCUUGCAGCCUCUGGCAUCCUAGGCUUAAGGGAGUGAAUGUUUCCCUCAGAAACAUUGGUGGAAACUUAACCUGGUGAAUGAAAAAAAGCUGCAAGGUGGGAAAAAAAAGGUGGGGGCAGGGAAAGGGAAAGCAAGCUCAGAUUUCGUCUUGGUGCUGGGAGCAAACACGUACAGCUAUUUACAGAGAUUUCAGCCAUGGGAAUAAGGGGAGGUAGCCAGGAUUGCUGUCAGGUCUCUAGGCUCAGCAGGUCUGUGCUUGGCCAUGAAGUGCUCUUUGUCUCCUGCCAUCAGAUCACCAGGGGACUGGCUGGAGGGCACCUGGCUGGCACAUGGAAAAUGGACACAGAGAUAUCCAUGUAGCAUAUGAUCUAAAGAGCUGCAAAUAGCUUCUGGGUGCUCGGAGCUGCCUAUACCAAUUCUCCAGCGCUCACCUCUCAUGCCUCCCAGCCUGGCCACAGAGCUGGCUGGCUUCAGGGACGCAGCGGAGCUCGGCUGCCUGCCGCGUUUGGCUGCCUCACUCUUCCUGCUCCCGCACACUGGCAGUUUGCAGCACCUCUUUGAAACCUGCCAGCCUCCUUUCCUGCUUCCCUCUUUACACUGGAUCACAUUCACCAUCCUCUUGGCUCUGAUGUGCAGUCUUGUCACAGACAGUUUGGAUUCACCCACAGGUGAUGAGACUCCAAGCACAGGGAAAUGAAAACGAACUCUGUUCCCUUCACUUGCAGAGUGGCAGGAGCUUCUCUUCCUGAAUUUUAAGAUAAUUUCUCAGCCUCUCUCUCCUAGCAUGUCUCCACCUUCCUGCUCAUGGUGUAAGGAUCUCUCUGACUUAACAGGGGAAAGGAAAUUUCAGCUUCACUUGGCAUCCAGGAGAAGGACACAUAGUGGGGAAGGAGAAGAUUGUGUGCUUAUGAUGGCAGAAGCUGUGUCUGUAGGACCUGGGUUGAAUAUGGAGGGCAGGAGGACACAGGACAAAAUCUGCAAGAAGGACUCUGUUCAGGGGAAAAUGCCAGCUGAGCCUGGGAGCUGUGCUGCACAAGAGCAGUGGCUGAUUGCUCUGGCUUUCUUGUGCUGGAUGUGAUGAUCCUGUUCCAGCUCAGCAAAGGUGUUUCUUCAUCUAAGCAAAGGGAAGUUCAGCCAAGUGGGCUUGGAUGCUGGAAAAGCCAGAGCCAGUGAGGCACUGCAGGCCAGGAAUAAGAGCAAGGCAAAGCCCACAUGUGGGACCUCCACCUCCACCAGGUGUUAUUUGCCAUUUAGUGGGGCCACCUCAAAGCUCUUGGCUCACCAUCAGUUAUUGUAUUUCAGAUGUAAGAUUUGAGGCCAGAGUGAUCUGGCACAUCAAGAAAAGAUCUAAGCCCUGUGACCCUUCAGGUGGAAGAGAAAGUGCAUGGGUUAGAGGGGAAAACAUCUGCUGACCCUGAACCUGGGGCACUGGGAGGUGAAGAGAGUCCAAAGGGUCUGGUGGAAAAAAACCUGGGGAAGGGCCAAGGCAGGCACAGCGCAAGAACCAUGCAGGAAAUGUGUUUACACAUUGGGGGUAUUUUUAAAUCCAUCACUCAGUGCCGUAAAACCAAACCUCCCACGAUGCUUUUGUUGGGGAGUGGGCACAGUGACAACAGCAGAAAGCAUACAUGGAAGCAGCAAAGUUCACAGGCAUCUUCACCCCGAUUUUACAGACCUGGGAGCAGACGCACUUCUGCUGCUAUGCCUGUUAUCUAUAGAAAAGAUGAACUCUGAUCUGAGCAAUGCUUUCGGAAGAAGCUGAGAGAUGCCAUGUGCAGGAAAAUCUGCUUCAGCCUCCCCUUCGGAGCAGAUCACAGGUGGAGUUCUCCUGAGCUGUUCCACUGCUUUAUUUCCCACCAUGACUCUCCGCCGCUCUCUGAGGGUAUGUUUAGAAGAUAGCGCCUUACUUUGCAGCAUUGCUUAUACUUGCUCAUUCAGUGUAAAUAACUGUAUUAACUUUAUAGGCAGCCCCAGUUUGAACUGACUGAGAUUCAUGUAGCAAACUGGAACUGUGCCAGGCCCACCAGAGCAGAGUCCUGUUGGUGCGAGGUGGAGCCUGAACAGCUCUCAGGAUGGGAGGUCUUUCCAAACGAAUGUGAUCCCUCCUUGUUCUUACAGAUUAGUUUUAACACUGACACAAUGGCUGCCAAAAACUGAAUCUGCCAGAAAUGUUAACAAAAGGCACUUUGAUCUCAUUCACUUGUUCUUGUUAAGAAUGUAUUGUACUAUUUUGCCUCCUUUGCGGUCAGAAGAAAAAUGUUUUACCCUUGCAUAUCACUCAUGUUUAAUACUCUAUGUGCUGUGUUACACAGGGCUUCUGCUUUUUGCUGCUACUUGCUUUCAGGCUGCUUACUUUAACAGUUGUUGCAUGCUAUACAUUUGCUUAAAUACCAUAGGGAGUUUUUCUAUUUGUUAUAUAAAAGACUGAGAUAUGUCCUUGUCUAAACAACUGAAGAAUUUGAUUUUUAUUAUAUGUGUAAGAACUACUUACAAGUCAGUUUAAACUUUCAUGCUAGUUCUUAAACCCUUGGCUUAGUACUUAAUACGGUUCACAUAUCUGUUCUUGGCACAAGGUUUACAUUUUUCUAACCACAUAUUUACAGUAAAAAGCAGCUAAUAUUCACUAAUAAAAUGAUACAUUGACAAUUAUCUAGCAACAGUAUUUCUUGCAAUGCAUCAACCUCACAGUGUACUGUAAAAAAUAAAGUAUACAAGUCAAACAGUGUAAUUCUCAUCUUCAAACACGAUUGAAG